rnacentral:rRNA from 1 species
CCAGCAGCCGCGGUAAUUCCUACGGGAGGCAGCAGUGGGGAAUUUUGGACAAUGGGCGCAAGCCUGAUCCAGCCAUGCCGCGUGAGUGAAGAAGGCCUUCGGGUUGUAAAGCUCUUUCAGUUGGGAAGAAACGAUUACAACUAAUAAUUGUAAUUAAUGACGGUACCGACAGAAGAAGCACCGGCUAACUACGUGCCAGCAGCCGCGGUAAU